AAUGAUGCCAAUGGGUGGAAUGAUGCCACCUGGACCAGGAAUACCACCUCUGAUGCCUGGAAUGCCACCAGGUAUGCCCCCACCUGUUCCACGUCCUGGAAUUCCUCCAAUGACCCAAGCACAGGCUGUUUCAGCGCCAGGUAUUCUUAAUAGACCACCUGCACCAACAGCAACUGUACCUGCCCCACAGCCUCCAGUUACUAAGCCUCUUUUCCCCAGUGCUGGACAGGUAAGGUGAAAAUCCUGAAAAGGAGUGCACUUAUAUUUAAAGAUAAAGUACAGUUGUUUACAGAAGUCUGAAAUUUUCAUAGGUCAAUUUUUUAAAUAA
rnacentral:sRNA from 1 species